rnacentral:lncRNA from 1 species
CUUACUCAACACCAGAGAAUUCAUACUGGGGAGAUACCAUACCAAUAUUAAUAAUGUUGCAAAGGUUCUCAUUGAAAGUCACUCCUUAGUCAACACCAGAGACUUCAUAUAGGAGAAAAACCAUAUAAAUGAAAAGAAUGUGGCAAAGCUUUUAACCAAAGAUCAUACAUUAUUUGACACCAGAGAAUUAAUACUUGGGAAGAGCCAUACUAUUGUAAAGAAUAGGAUGUAAAAGUCAUUUGUUGUAAGAUCACACCUCAUUGGUCGCCAGAAACAUCAUACUGGAAAGAAAAGUUACAAUUACCCAGAGAUAGCUCUGCAGUGCUCACUCUAUGAAACCCCAACCCUUCCCCAACUAGCCAUUACACAGGAGCCCAUAGAAGUGGGCAGGAAGCAUGGUUGGAUCCUUGGCCCUCUUUCCUUCUGUGGACCUCUCCAUGUUCACUUGUCCUUUCAUCAGUUUCUCUGUUUUAAUUGAUUAAAUUCAAAUGAUCUUUUUUUUUUCCAAAACUAUCUCUGGACUUAAAGGCCUCGUUUGUAUCAAACUGACACAUUAAUAAAACUAUCUUAUGCCUGAAGUCUAUGAUCACAUCAAUGUUUUUCCCAUAAACUCAGAUGGACAGCAUGUUCCUUUGUCAAUGUUUUAUUUAUUUAUUUUAUUUUGGGGAUUGAAUUCAG